rnacentral:rRNA from 1 species
AUACGAAGGGGGCUAGCGUUGUUCGGAAUUACUGGGCGUAAAGCGCACGUAGGCGGAUACUUAAGUUAGGGGUGAAAUCCCAGGGCUCAACCCUGGAACUGCCUCUAAUACUGGGUAUCUUGAGUCCGAGAGAGGUGAGUGGAAUUCCGAGUGUAGAGGUGAAAUUCGUAGAUAUUCGGAGGAACACCAGUGGCGAAGGCGGCUCACUGGCUCGGUACUGACGCUGAGGUGCGAAAGCGUGGGGAGC